rnacentral:rRNA from 1 species
AUUGAACGCUGGCGGCAUGCCUUACACAUGCAAGUCGAACGGUAACAGGUCUUCGGAUGCUGACGAGUGGCGAACGGGUGAGUAAUACAUCGGAACGUGCCUAGUAGUGGGGGAUAACUACUCGAAAGAGUGGCUAAUACCGCAUGAGAUCUACGGAUGAAAGCAGGGGAUCGCAAGACCUUGUGCUACCAGAGCGGCCGAUGGCAGAUUAGGUAGUUGGUGGGAUAAAAGCUUACCAAGCCGACGAUCUGUAGCUGGUCUGAGAGGACGAUCAGCCACACUGGGACUGAGACACGGCCCAGACUCCUACGGGAGGCAGCAGUGGGGAAUUUUGGACAAUGGGCGCAAGCCUGAUCCAGCAAUGCCGCGUGCAGGAUGAAGGCCUUCGGGUUGUAAACUGCUUUUGUACGGAACGAAAAGCCCUGGGUUAAUACCCUGGGGUCAUGACGGUACCGUAAGAAUAAGCACCGGCUAACUACGUGCCAGCAGCCACGGUAACAC